ACGUAGGGACCAAGCGUUGUUCGGAUUUACUGGGCGUAAAGGGCGCGUAGGCGGCGUGGUAAGUCACUUGUGAAAUCUCUGAGCUUAACUCAGAACGGCCAAGUGAUACUGCUGUGCUAGAGUGCAGAAGGGGCAAUCGGAAUUCUUGGUGUAGCGGUGAAAUGCGUAGAUAUCAAGAGGAACACCGGUGGCGAAGGCGGUUCUCUGGGCCUUACCUGACGCUGAGGAGCGAAAGCGUGGGGAGCGAACAGGA
rnacentral:rRNA from 1 species